rnacentral:tRNA from 1 species
GGGCCUGUAGCUCAGUGGAUUAGAGCACGUGGCUACGAACCACGGUGUCGGGGGUUCAAAUCCCUCCUUGCCCA